ensembl:lncRNA
UUACCUCUUGAAUGUUGUUCAGUCUAUCGAAUGUGCAAUAUGGUGGGAUUUACAAGGCAUUUUUAUAGCAAACUUUGCAUCAGAGAAUUUCUGACUGAACUGUACAUACAGUAUUAUAAGCAUAUUUCAAACUUCUGGGAAGAUAGAAAUUUUACACACUGUUCUAGGAACUAAUACAGACUCCAAGAGUAUGAAGAGUUUAGAGACCAACUAGAAAGCAGUCUGCAUGUGGAUUCAAGAGUUAAAUUUCUUGUUCACCUAAUUAAACAUCACUUAGCAAGGGAGGAUCAGCAGCAUGAUGUAAAAGAAGAUGGGCUCUGAGUAGGUACUGGUCCCAUCCCUAGGCUCCACAUACAAGGGAGACAGGAGAGGCUGAAGUAGUUUUGAGCCUCUGCAGCAGAGACUGCUUGUCUGCAAGGGUGUGAGUCUGAAGCCAUUACUGCUGUAUAUGAGUACCUGUUCUAUUCUCAAAGUUGCCUGUAUAGCCUUAAUUCUUUUAUUCUGUGGAUAUUUAAUAUGGGGAGCAGUCUCUAAUGCUGUAGAUCGUUACUGCUUUGCAAAUGGUGCAGUAUUUUUAUAAAACUUUACAAAACUGUAGGGUUAUAAAUUCCCUCGUGUUUUCUAUGGCAGCUGGCUUUUCUCCUCUGCACCAGUGCAGGGGUUUCUGCUCUGUAGGCUGAAACUCUGAAAUAACAUGUCAAAAAGAAAGGCUUUCAAAAAAGACAAGGAUGGGAAAAAAUAAUGGGAGGCUGCGUGAAAGCAGAGGAUUGUUAAGCUGUCUUUGACCAAAGAAAACAUAUUUCACUUUGGUGGAUCAUAAAAUAUCUGGUAUAUCAUAAAAGCAGACUACACAAGUAGAGUGGUGUGUGUUACAUUUGUACAGCAUGCUACACAUGAAGUGUAACAACAAAAAGUAGUAUGAAAAAGCAGCAAACUGAAACUGGAAAAAAAAAUGCUGAUAUUUAGGCCAACCUCAGCUUCUUUUUAAGUAGAAUUUGUGGAGGGCUGCAUUGCAUGUGUUUGUGUAGCUCAUUUAUCUUCAUUGUUAACUACUUGAUCUUUUGCGUUGUAUCUAAGUAAUUUUUAAUAGGGUAAUUAUAAUGUCUGGGUAUUCCACAAUUUUUAACACAUGUUUUCCUUAGAUGAAGAAGAUUUAUCAUUUUAAACUGCCAAAUAUAAUGAACUAAGCCAUGGGAGAAAAACAUACUACAAAAAUAUCAAGAAAAAGCAGAGAUUGAAAAGUAUUAUGUGUGUUUCCUACAUUUAAAGAUCAUAGGAAAAGCUGUAUAUUAUAUGUAUUAUUUGAAAAUAAUAUAAAUUCUCCACAGUCAGCCAAGACCAAACAUAGAGCUUUAAUAAGG